UCUGGCAGCGGCGCACGCUGAUUGGACUGGCGGCCUCUCAGGAGCGGGGGCAGCAAGUUUGGAUGCGCGCUACUUAAAGUCCAGCUGCGUGAGCUAUUGACGUGUUUGGAGUUGGAGAUUGCCUGGUCACUGGUAUAGUGGCACCCCGAGGUUGAAGCAAGGUGUGUUUCCUGUGCCCGCCGUCCACCGUUAGACGGACUGGCAGCAUCGCGGAGGGCAGCAAGGACUCGGACUUUAUCUCUCCGGUUUCUCCGUUCGAGUUCCCCGCCUCCCUCCGUAAGAAGACUGUUAGGAUGCCAAUGGUAACACGGCGACUGAGAGAUCCUGACACAAAUCCUUGCUUGUUGGAAUCUGAUGCUUCUGCCAGGUGUAUGGAUGAAAAUAACUAUGACAAGGAAAGGUGUUCCACUUACUUCUUGAGGUACAAAAACUGCCGGAAAUUCUGGGUGUUAUUUUAGCCCUAAACAAUCCUUGAGAGCUCUUCUCAGUUGCCUUAUCCUACUCCAAGGCAUAAGGAUGCAGUUCAAAUCAUAGAGAAUUCUGUCAUGAUGCAGAGAAGACAGAAUGGAGUAAAGCCACCUAUGCCUACAGCAGCAGAAAGAGAUGAAAUCUUGGGAGCAAUGGGAAAGAUGCCCUAUUGAAUGUUUGCAUUAAAAUUGUUUAUUUAACUUAAAAGCAGAUAAAUAUUUUUAAUAAAUGAUUACUGUAACCUUUUAAGACCUUA